ensembl:miRNA
UGGGUUGGCCAAAAAGUUCGUUCGGGUUUUUCUGUAAGUUGUUAUGGAAAAACCCGAACAAACUUUUUGGCCAAUGCA